GAUGAACGCUAGCGGCAGGCCUAACACAUGCAAGUCGAGGGAGAAGCCCUUUCGGGGGCAGAAACCGGCGCACGGGUGCGUAACGCGUAUGCAACCUACCUUUCACAGGGGGAUAGCCCGAAGAAAUUUGGAUUAAUACCCCAUAAUAUUAUUGGAUGGCAUCAUUUGAUAAUUAAAACUGCGGUGGUGAAAGAUGGGCAUGCGUCCUAUUAGCUAGUUGGAGUGGUAACGGCACCCCAAGGCUACGAUAGGUAGGGGUCCUGAGAGGGAGAUCCCCCACACUGGUACUGAGACAGGGACCAGACCCCUACGGGAGGCAGCAGUGAGGAAUAUUGGUCAAUGGUCGGAAGACUGAACCAGCCAUGCCGCGUGCAGGAAGAAUGCCUUAUGGGUUGUAAACUGCUUUUAUAUGGGAAGAAUAAGGCGUACGUGUACGUUGAUGACGGUACCAUAUGAAUAAGCAUCGGCUAACUCCGUG
rnacentral:rRNA from 1 species